rnacentral:lncRNA from 10 species
GGGCUGGAUCCCUCAGCCGCCGCCGCUCCUCCUCCUGGCAGGCCGGCCGCGGAGUCAGCUGACGCCGGCGCUCCAGCCUCGCCUCCCCGCGCCGCGCUCUGCGCUCCCCGAAAGUGGCUGCAAGCCGGCCGCCCACUGUCAGGGUUGGGGGGACAGAGAAAGUGAUGUGCGCCUUCUAAAGCCUCGCCCAGCGCCGCCGAAGCAGCUUCACCUCUCCAACUUUCUCCCACCGACUGCUUGUCUUGACCCUGCCCUCCACCCUCCCCAGAGCCACUUCGGGUGCGCGCUCUUGGGUAAAGGGGGGGUCACCGGCUGUCUGGGAUGGCUUCCAAUUUUAAUGACAUAGUGAAGCAAGGGUACGUGAGGAUCCGGAGCAGACGCCUCGGGGUGCUGAUCCUGAGAGCCCUCCGCAGUGAACACCCUGCAUGCAGAUCUCCUUCUUGGAACCUGUUCCUGGAAAACCCAGUCUCCAGCAACCUGAUAUGUAACUGCAAAUCUGCAACUCUAGACCAACCUUCUAAAGAGGGAUUUAAGACCUUUUUCAAGAAUCUGGCUUGAUUUUUUGGCCCAUGGUUCUCCCUUUAUUUUACUCAAUGUUCUCAAAACUAAAAUGGCUCUUUAAUUUGAUUUUCGUAAAAUGGAAAUUUGGUAGAUCAUAUUUUAUUUACUAUGUUGUUAAAAUGCCCCAAUCUCCUCAGUAGAUUCAUACACUGAAAAAAAAAUAAAAAAGAAAAUACCUUAA